CAGUCAUAUAUGCACUAAGCAUGGGUGUGCAUCCUUGAAAGACUCAAGCGUCACUCCAGUAUCACUUUCAAUGGAAGGCGGUUUGGAUGCCUUCCAUCUGGCUUUUUUGAAAAGUCGUGAUCAUCACCUUCCGACCCAGAUGCCCCCGGAGUGGAACAAGGUUGGAACCAACAGAAACUCACCUGAUUUAGAAGCUCAAGAAAAGCCUCUAUUCAAGAGUGCACAGAUUUGGGGUAGAUCCCAGUGGACGAGGGGGAGGGAAACACAGGAGUCACAAGUCCUCCAGUGUGCCUGACCACCUGACCAAGCGGCAGUGACUGACACCAUUACGCUCACUUCCUUCCCCCCCUUUGCAUUUUCUGGCUGGAGAUGAGAUGGAAGACAGACUUCGUAAUUCCUAAAAUUUUAUCUGUAUGGGUGUUUUGCUGUAUGUAUGUCUGUGGAGCUCUUGUGUAUCUGUUUCCUGGGGAGCCAUAAGAGGGUGUUGGGUCUUCUGGGACUGGAGUUACAGAUGAUUGUGAGUUGCCCAGUGGAUGCAGGGAAUGGGAUUUUUUUCUUCUGAAGGAGCAGCCAGGGCUGCUCACUGCUGACGCAUCUCUCCAGCCCUAAAAACAGACCCCAACCAGGACAGCCAGGGCUAUACAGAGAAACCCUGUCUUGAAAAACAAAAACAAACAAAUAAAACCAGACCCAAUGUAUAUAAAGAAAAUAUCUAAUAAUAAAAAUAAAUAAAUAAAAACAAAGCAAACAAACAAACAAACAAAAAACAGACCCCAA
rnacentral:lncRNA from 1 species